AGCAGAGUGUAAUUGUGCAGUAGCUUCUUUAAGGGGAGAGGAGGCCACAUUCAACAAAUAUUUACUGAAUAUUUAAGUACUGAGAUAUUGUGUUGGGCAUUGGAGAUUUUGUAGGAAACAAACAGCACCAAAUAUCACCAUAUAAUUUGCACUCUAUUUAAAUAGAGGAUUUAGUGGGAAGAAAGCUUGGUGGAAGUGGGCAAAUGAGAGACGGCACUGAAUGCAAGCCUAAAAAUUUGGACUUCAGAGAAGCAUUGGGACCUUAUUUGUGGCUUUAAUAUCACACAUGAAUUUUCAGGCAAGGAUAUCUCUAUGAAAAAACUGACAGAGCCCAGUUCCCUUGCCAGAAUCCUGAAUAUUUGAGUCAAGAUUCCAAGAACUCCUCAUCUACCAUUGCAAGUAUAGGGACAAUGUUGCAUAUCUCAGUGGAACAGCCUAAGAUUUGAAGUCAAUAGGAAACUGAGCUUGACAUAGGAUCUGAACACUCAAAUAUCAACACAACCUCCAGUCUUAAGACUGUGCAUGCUUCUAAUAAAAAUUUGGAACCAAAAGAAGUUUAAAAAGCCGAAAGUGACUAAGUGCUGCUAUCCCAUGCCCCAAAGGACCAUGAUCGCUUGUCUGGACCCAGAAAAUAUUUCCCAUUUGCUACACAGAUGCCGUCUCAUCCUUCCAGAGUUCAAGACUUCAGCAGAAAAAAAAAUCACCUCAUUAAAGGAAAAUUGUGCCUUAUCCCCACUACUCGAAGAUGCAACCAUCUGCCUGGUCACAGCCACUUUUUUCCUUUUUUUCUCACUCCAUCGUAUGUGUGUGUGGUGGGGCAGGGGAUAAGGGGAAUAAUCUCUCUCCAGUAUAAGAAGGUAAUGAUUCAAAGAUUUAAAUGCUAAACUUCUGGGACUUCGGGACUUACUAUAAAACUAGAUAAGAUCAACAACAACAAAAACAAUGCUUUCUAUUGAAAUUUGUACAGUUUUGCAAGUUCAUUUCUGCUCUUCGUCUGUUGAAGCAUCAAUAAAGUCCAAGAAAAAUACUGGGAAUCAGAUUCAUGCCCAAAGUGACCCUGUGGCAGUUGAGGAUUGACUGGGCUAGAAGACCAAAGUUUAAAGCGCAAGUUAAUCUGAGACAGAGAAAUGAAAGAGAAGAUGAGAAAGAAAAGUGGCCUCAAAAUAAGAGGAACUAGGGUCCUGGCUCAGAGGCUCAUGCCUGUAAUUCCAUCACUUUGGGAGGCCGAGGUGGGCAGAUCACCCGAGGUCAGGAGUUCCAGACCAGCCUGGCCAACAUGGUGAAACCCCGUAUCUACUAAAAAUACAAAAAUUAGCUGGGCAUGGGGGCGCCUUAAUCCCAGCUACUUGGGAGUCAGAGACAGGAGAAUCAUUUGAAUCUGGAGGUGGAAGUUGCAGUGAGCCAAGAUCCCAGCCAUUGCACUCAAGCCUGGGGGACAAGAGCAAGACUUAUCUCAAAAAAAAAAAAAAAAAAGGAACUAGGACACAAGCAAGAACAGAAGUAGGAUAUGCAAAUGCUUUCUUUGAAAGCUGGGGGCAGGUGAAUGGCUUUCCUGUACUGCUAUAAAGGUACAAAAUGGAGGCAGGCACUCUUUAGAGAGGUUUAGUUUGAAAAUAAGAUUUUCAAACUUUACCCCCAAUGAAGUACAACUAGCCUUAAAUUCCACCCCACCCACCACCUCCACAAAAAAAGAAAAAAUAAAAAGAAAAUAUCUAUCAAAAAGCAUUAGUCAUGGAAAGGACUUAAUCUUGAAAAUGAAAGCAACAAAGUUGUUAAAUGUAGACAGACACUAAGCUGCUUACAACAAUAUUUGCUUACAUUAUAGCAUCUAAUAUAAGAUGUUAUUUGCUCAUUGUUUAUUAUGUACUCCAUGCUCUCACAAGAAGCUUAGCUUUGAUUUUUUUCUUAAUUUUGGUGGCUUAAAUUUGAAAAUUUAACUUUGCAUUAAAGGAGGGUUUUUAUUUAAUUAAAGAAUGUAUUCUGGAGCUUGAUUACAAAUUAAAAUCCAACAUUUGCUUAACGUGGAUGGGUUUACAAUUAUAGGAAAAACUUUUUGCACUUCAUGAUUUAGUGGCUGUUUAACUUUGUACUCAAUAUAGUAAUUAAUAUAUGUUGCUGCAUUUAAUUUUCUGUUUAAUUUUUUAAAAUAAAAAGGUAAAGGAUGUUUGCUGCUUUUAAGGAGAUUUACCUGCAUAACUUCAUUACUCUGCGUGAUCGUAUAAUGGCCCCAUCUGAGUUAUCCACCAAACUGAUGUUUAUACCUACAAUGUCAUCUGUUCUCUUUCAAAACUAAUUGUGUCACACCAUUGGUGUUGGUUUAUAUUAUACUUAUUUGAUAGGCCUAGAUUUAUUAAAUAUCUUUUAUGACACUUGGGCUAAGUUAUGCUUAUAUAGAAAUGUAAUAUAC
rnacentral:lncRNA from 10 species